AAGAAAUUAGUUUAAAAAAAACAUUAAUGUGUCAAAUUAAAAUUACUUUAUAAGUACUUCUUU
rnacentral:tRNA from 1 species